GGCCUACCAAGGCGACGAUCCGUAGCGGGUCUGAGAGGAUGAUCCGCCACACUGGGACUGAGACACGGCCCAGACUCCUACGGGAGGCAGCAGUGGGGAAUUUUGGACAAUGGGCGGAAGCCUGAUCCAGCCAUGCCGCGUGAGUGAAGAAGGCCUUCGGGUUGUAAAGCUCUUUCGGGCCGGGAAGAAAUCGCAUGGGUCAAUACCCCUGUGUGGAUGACGGUACCGGAAUAAGAAGCACCGGCUAACUACGUGCCAGCAGCCGCGGUAAUACGUAGGGUGCGAGCGUUAAUCGGAAUUACUGGGCGUAAAGCGUGCGCAGGCGGUUUGGUAAGUCAGAUGUGAAAAUCCCCGGGCUCAACCUGGGAACUGCAUUUGAGACUGCCAAGCUGGAGUUUGGCAGAGGGGGUGGAAUUCCACGUGUAGCAGUGAAAUGCGUAGAGAUGUGGAGGAACACCGAUGGCGAAGGCAGCCCCCUGGGCCAAUACUGACGCUCAUGCACGAAAGCGUGGGGAGC
rnacentral:rRNA from 1 species